GGCCUUCAUCCGUCAGGCCUGGCAACAACACUGCUGUUGUUGAGAAGCCUCCAUCCAGUAUUGAGGCUUGGC
rnacentral:ribozyme from 1 species